CUGAGUAUUCAGACUGGCUGUGUAUGCUGAGUAUUCAGACUGGCUGUGUAUGCUGAGUAUUCAGACUGGCUGUGUAUUCUGAGUAUUCAGACUGGCUGUGUAAUUCUGAGUAUUCAGACUGGCUGUGUAAUUCUGACUAUUCAGACUGACUGUGUAAUUCUGAGUAUUCAGACUGGCUGUGUAUUCUGAGUAUUCAGACUGGCUGUGUAUUCAGACUGGCUGUGUAAUUCUGAGUGUGUAUUCUGAGUAUUCAGACUGGCUGUGUAUUCUGAGUAGGUAUUCUGAGUAUUCAGACUGGCUGUGUAUUCUGAGUAUUCAGACUGGCUGUGUAUUCUGAGUAUUCAGACUGGCUGUG
rnacentral:lncRNA from 1 species